CCCGCCGUUCUCGCCGCCGCCGCCGCCGCCUUGGGAGCGGGUAAUUUAAGAACAAAUUAACUUGGAGAUGACUACGUUCCUGAAGAAAUCUACGGAACCGAUUUAGAUGAGGUUCAUGUUCCUGCAUUCCUGAAGGUUGGCUGAAAAAUCACCAAUUCAGAUGAGAAGAAUUCUCUUAUCUAAUGCAGCAGAAACACCAUUUUGGGAUUGAGCUAUAUGGCUGCCUAGAAGCUGUUGGAAGCAUUUAGCACAGUCAGCUUGAUGAACCGCAAAUGGAGCUCACCACUGAGAAAUCAAGAUGGCGUUCCACUGUUGAGUGGGAGUUAAGGAAAAUGAAUUAAUGCAUGUGUUGCUGGGAUAAAUCCAACCAAAACAGGGAUAUUUUAAGAUGGACUUCAUGAAAGCAUUGAAGAUGAUAGGUGUCUGACCAUCUUUUAAAAAUGGAUAUGGACUUUUAUGGCCUAAGGACUUAUGUCACUAAACAGAAGAUGGGACAUGGCACUUUGGAGAAUCAUUUUCAUGUACAGAUUCAACUUUACAGAAUGUAAACCUAACUAGAAUAUACAGUCAAUAUCACUUGUUCUUUGCUUUUCUAUGUGUUUGUACAAAAAAUGUACUAUUAUAUUUUGCGAUUCCUAGUAAUUUACUGAAUAAAAACCUAAUUUUUUUUACAUUUU